CCGCCGCGCUCCAGAGAGUUGCUUCAGAGAAGUGAAUCUGCGAGGUGACCGGUGCGGUAACUGUGGUUGGGAUGGACUGGCGUACAAGAAAUGUGCUGAAAAGGAUAUUUUGUGUGGAAGAGUGCAGUGUGUUAAUGUUAAAAGCAUACCAGUAAAGGCAGAUGAGGAGACUACAGUCCAGACUCCCAUUAAUAAUACCAUUUGUUGGGGUAUAGACUUCCAUGUCGGGCCAGAUGUUCCUGAUGUGGGAUCGGUGAAAGACAGCACCUUGUGUGAUAAAGACCAGGUAGUAUCAUACAACACCGAUAGAUACCUGGACAGCAUGAAAAUGAGAUUCAGUCGAGAAGGCAUGGAACUGGUGUUUCCAAGUCUAACUUGCCCCAUCUCUGUUACAUGAUACACUUCCCAAAACAGCCUGCUCUGACCCAUGUAUGUAGGAAGAACCCCAAAAGCAGGCCCUCUUACCCCUUCCCCAGGACUGAAUGCAGCUGGCAAGAGAUGCCACGCUUCUUCUGUAGAGCGAGAGGAGAUGGCAUGAGGAUGGGUCCUCUCCUCCUGAAACUGCUACCCUGCCUACAUCAAAGUUCAUUCCUGGGUAUGGGACACUAUGAAUGACAUGGCGCCGCGCAUUGUUCUUCCAAGGACAUGAAAUAAGGCAAAUCCCAUCCCCACAAUGGUACCGCGGCAAAAGCUCUACCAUGCUGAUACAUGCAGUGGUAGGAUCCUUAGACAAGUGCGUGGGGCUGGAACGCAGAUGUGCACCAGGAAAUAGCAGUGCACUUCCAGGCACUUUUUCCCCUUACAGGAAGCAAGUGUGCUGGGCAGGAUGUAUUGUGAUUACAACUGCCCAGUCCCAGGGAGAUGGAGACAAUUAGGGUUGUUAAUCUUUAUGCUCCCCAGAGGAUGUGCUCCUGUUUUAUGGUUCUUGUCACUUAAUUGGGGAACGGUUUCAAAGAGUGCAAUCCCCCGACUCUCCAUGUUGAAAAAUCAUCCUGCUAGCAUACCUUCCCCUUCUGACUAGUAGCUGUUUGUUGCCUUUAUUCUGGGAAGAUUUAAAAAAAAAUAGUGAUUCUUACAACAUAUUCUGAAAAUGCUUAGUUUUGGAGGCUUUCGAGCUUUUGAGCUCAGUCAAAUACUUCAUUUCCGUAGCUUCCCAGCUGCCAAUGCCUGACGGCUCUGCUUCUGUCCGCUGCAGCAAGAGGUUUCCAGCAGGGACUCUGUGUACCAUUUUUCUUGAAAACAGGAUGUUUUCAGACAAGCUUAGAUACAUUCUCUGUUCAUCACUACCCAUUGCUCCCCAACACACAGUGGUAUUCCCAAAUGUCUCUGUCUACUCUGGAGUCAGAAUACAGGCUUCAUUCCUGUCUUCUUAUCUAAUAUACACCUCUGUAUUUUUCUAGAUGUGUAUAAACAGAACCUGUGUCAGCACAAAUAUUCUGGAGUAUUACUGCCGUGAUGAGAAAUGCAACGGCCAAGGGAUUUGCAACAGCAACGGAAACUGCCACUGCGACUUUGGAUGGGCCCCCCCAUACUGUACAGAGAAAGGAUCUGGAGGAAGCCUUGACAGUGGACCUCCUCCAUCUACCUCUACUACAUCCUCCAAUACCUUUUUAAUAGGGAUAAUCAUAGGAAGCGUGAUUCUCCUGCUGCUUAUCACCAUUGCAGUGUG